UGAAAGGAAGUGGCGGGCUCGCUACAACUCCGAGCGUAGUAAUUCAUUAUCUCGCUAGGGAGGUUGCGGCGUGCUCCUGCCGUUAAAGACCCAUCUUUAACCAAGGUUGACCUCGGAUCAGGUAGGAAUACCCGCUGAACUUAAGCAUAUCAAUAAGCGGAGGAAAAGAAACCAACAGGGAUUGCCCUAGUAACGGCGAGUGAAGCGGCAACAGCUCAAAUUUGAAAUCUGGCUUCGGCCCGAGUUGUAAUUUGUAGAGGAUGCUUUUGGUGAGGUGCCUUCUGAGUUCCCUGGAACGGGACGCCAGAGAGGGUGAGAGCCCCGUAUAGUCGGCCACCGAUCCUUUGUAAAGCUCCUUCGACGAGUCGAGUAGUUUGGGAAUGCUGCUCAAAAUGGGAGGUAUAUCUCUUCUAAAGCUAAAUAUAGGCCAGAGACCGAUAGCGCACAAGUAGAGUGAUCGAAAGAUGAAAAGCACUUUGAAAAGAGGGUUAAAUAGCACGUGAAAUUGUUGAAAGGGAAGCGCUUGUGACCAGACUUGUGCCGGGCUGAUCAUCCAGUGUUCUCACUGGUGCACUCGACCCGGCUCAGGCCAGCGUCGGUUUU
rnacentral:rRNA from 1 species